UUGUCUUUUAAAUUCGUGAACAAGUAAUUAUACAAUCGAAAUAUAAUAAAUGUGCAUAAAAAUUAAUAUAAAUGUAAUUGUGAAAUAAAUAUUUGAUGACCGUAGUUUGUUACUUGAGAGUCUUCUCGAUUAAUCUUCGUAAACCGAAAACGUCCGAAGUUAGCCGAAUCAGUAUAAGAGCGAGAAAGUGCGUAGAAUUGCCAGUUCAUUUUUCUCUUGACAUUUUCAAAAAAUUUGUUCAAUAUAAAUUAUUAUUUUCUCUUAAAUUCAUAAACAAGUAGUUAUAUAAUCGAAAUAUAAUAGAAAAAAUAUAAUAAGUGUGCGUAAAAAUUAAUAUAAACGUAUUUGUGAAAUAAAUAUAUGAUGACCGUAGUUCGUUACUUGAGAAUACUUCACUAAUCUUCGUAAAUCAAAAACAUUUGAAAUUAAUCGAACCAGUGUAAGAACGAAAAAGCAUGCAAAAUUAGCAAUUCAUUUUUCUCUUGAUAUUUUCAUCAAAUUUAUUUAAUAUUAAAUAUUAUUAUCUUUUAAAUUCGUAAACAAGUUCAUUUUUCUCUUGACAUUUUCGUCAAAUUUGUUUAAUAUAAACUAUUAUUAUCUUUUAAAUUCGUGAACAAGUAAUUAUACAAUCGAAAUAUAAUAAAUGUGCAUAAAAAUUAAUAUAAAUGUAAUUGUGAAAUAAAUAUUUGAUGACCGUAGUUUGUUACUUGAGAGUCUUCUUGAUUAAUCUUCGUAAACCGAAAACGUCCGAAGUUAGCCGAAUCAGUAUAAGAGCGGGAAAGUGCGUAGAAUUGCUAGUUCAUUUUUCUCUUGACAUUUUCAAAUAAUUUGUUCAAUAUAAACUGUUAUUGUCUUUUAAAUUCACGAACAAGUAGUUAUAUAAUCGAAAUAUAAUAGAAAAAAUAUAAUAAGUGUGCGUAAAAAUUAAUAUAAACGUAAUUAUGAAAUAAAUAUGUGGUGACCGUAGUUCGUCAUUUGAGAGUAUUCUCGACUAAUCUUUUUUUUUGUAAACCGAAAACGUCCGAAGUUAGCCGAACCAGUGUAAGAACGGGAAAGUGCGCAGAAGUACCAGCUCUUUUUUCUCUUAACAUUUUCAUUAAAUUUAUUCAAUAUUAAGUGUUAUUGUCUUUUAAAUUUGUGAAUAAGUAAUUAUAUAAUCGAAAUAUAAUAGAAAAAAUAUAAUAAGUGUGCAUAAAAAUUAAUAUAAAUGUAAUUGUGAAAUAAAUAUGUGGUGACCGUAGUUCGUCAUUUGAGAGAUUGUCAUCAAAAAUACAUAUUCAGCAGAAACAUUUUAAUGGCUGCCACUCGCGUCGACGCAGAACGAUUUUACGCCGCUUAUUUUGAGGGGAAAAUUGUGUUAUUAAGACGUCAACUUGAAUCAUCGUUUUCGCUGUAAUUUCGAAACAUUCGAGGGAGAAAUGGACCUUAAAAUAUCAAGCAAUAUAUAUCUCAAGAUAACAAGAAGCAAUAUAAUCAGAAGCAGAGGAGUUGAAUUGAGAGUCGAUCCAAUUAUUCAGACUUGAUCCUCGUCGUCUUGUGGAGGUCGCGAUGGCAUAAAUUCGUGCUUCCCGCUCGAACAUCGCCCGCGGCCGGAUAGUUGGCAAACGUGCUGUGUUUCCAUUUCCAUCCGCCAAGAUUCAGCCUCGAGGCGUGGAAGAGUCUCGCGGAACUUCCGCUGUAAACCAAAGGGGAAUUGGCCUUAGCUGGGUGGAAACUCGGAAAUUCUGUCUUUAGUCACGUAGCCGUGGGACGAUUCCCGUGGCUUUGUUAACCAGCCUGUCCUUGGACUCCUGAGAGGGACCUUGCCACGGAUACCGGAAACGGGGAAUACUAGUUGGGGAUUUGUUUCCAUUGCAGCUAUCUAUCGAAUUGGCUACUGAUCGCUCGAAACUGUUUGUAUUUGGACAUAGUUUCUGGACUUAAGAUCGAAGAAUUGGAUGGAAGAGAACAUUUGUACUAUCGAACGAUUUUCCCUUCGAAACAUAUUGAUAAAAAUAAGGAAGAGGAGGAAUCGAUAAAUUUGUGGAGGAAGAGGAAUCGAUAAAUUUGUGGAGGAAGAGGAAUUCAUAAAAAUAAGGAAGAGGAGGAAAUGAUAAAAAUAAGGAGGAGGAGGAAUUGAUAAAAAUAAGGAGAAGGAGGAAUUGAUAAAAAUAUGGAGGAGGAGGAAUUGAUAAAUUUGAGGUGAAAUUGAUAAAAGGAAUUGAUAAAAAUAAGGAAUUUUUUUUUCAAUGAGGAAAAAUAAUCUUUCGAUCAUGCGUCACUAAUGAAACGAUGAUAUUUUUGUAAAUCUUAUUCCCGAGCUGAGAGGAUAGAGCUUUUUAGUGCUAUAAAAAUAAAGAAAUUGUCUGUUAAUUUUUAAUUACAUUCUUGGUAAUUUUAAAAUUUACUAUGCUUGGCAAAUUGAAUAAUUUAUUUCGUGAGAAUUAUAAAAAUUUUUAAAAAUUUGUAUAUAAUUUGUUAUAUUUAUAAAAUGUAGAGAAUUAUGUUAUUAUUUAAAUAUAUAUUUUGUUUAAGGACAUAGUUUCUGGACUUAAGAUCGAAGAAUUGGAUGGAAGAGAACAUUUGUACUAUCGAACGAUUUUCCCUUCGAAACAUAUUGAUAAAAAUAAGGAAGAGGAGGAAUCGAUAAAUUUGUGGAGGAAGAGGAAUCGAUAAAUUUGUGGAGGAAGAGGAAUUCAUAAAAAUAAGGAAGAGGAGGAAAUGAUAAAAAUAAGGAGGAGGAGGAAUUGAUAAAAAUAAGGAGAAGGAGGAAUUGAUAAAAAUAUGGAGGAGGAGGAAUUGAUAAAUUUGAGGUGAAAUUGAUAAAAGGAAUUGAUAAAAAUAAGGAAUUUUUUUUUCAAUGAGGAAAAAUAAUCUUUCGAUCAUGCGUCACUAAUGAAACGAUGAUAUUUUUGUAAAUCUUAUUCCCGAGCUGAGAGGAUAGAGCUUUUUAGUGCUAUAAAAAUAAAGAAAUUGUCUGUUAAUUUUUAAUUACAUUCUUGGACAUAGUUUUUGGAUUUAAGAUCGAAGAAUUGGAUGGAAGACAACAUUUGUACUAUCGAACGAUUUUCCCUUCGAAACAUAUUGAUAAAAAUAAGAAAGAGGAGGAAUCGAUAAAUUUGUAGAGGAAGAGGAAUUCAUAAAAAUAAGGAAGAGGAAGAAUUGAUAAAAAUAAGGAAGAGGAGGAAUUGAUAAAAAUAAGGAGGAGGAGGAAUUGAUAAAAAUAAGGAGGAGGAGGAAUUUAUAAAAAUAUGGAGGAGGAGGAAUUGAUAAAAAUAAGGAGUAGGAAGAAUUGAUAAAAAUAUGGAGGAGGAGGAAUUGAUAAAUUUGAGGACAUAGUUUUUGGACUUAAGAUCGAAAAAUUGGAUGGAAGAGGACAUUUGUACUAUUGCACGAUUUUCCCUUCGAAACAUAUUGAUAAAAAUAAGGAAGAGGAGGAAUUGAUAAAAGGAAGUGGUAUCGAUAAAUUUGUGGAGGAAGACGAAUUGAUAAAUUUGUGGAAGAAGAGGAAUCGAUAAAUUUGUGGAGGAAGAGAAAUUGAUAAAAAUAAGGAGGAGGAGGAAUUGAUAAAAAUAUGGAGGAGGAGGAAUUGAUAAAAAUAUGGAGGAGGAGGAAUUGAUAAAAUUGAUAAAAGGAAUUGAUAAAAAUAAGGAGUUCUUUUCGAUGAGGAAGAAUAAUCUUUCGAUCAUGCGUCACUAAUGAAAAUGAUAAUAUUUUUAUAAAUCUUAUUGCCGAGCUGAGAGGAUAGAGCUUUUUAGUGCUAUAAAAAGAAAGAAAUUGUCUGUUAAUUUUUAAUUACAUUCUUGGUAAUUUUAAAAUUUGCUAUGCUUGGCAAAUCGAAUAAUUUAUUUCGACAUACUUUUUGGAUUUAAGUUCGGAGAAUUGGAUGGAAGAGAACAUUUGUUCUAUCGAACGAUUUUCCCUCUAAAAUAUAUUGAUAAAAAUAAGGAAGAAGAGGAAUCGAUAAAAAUACGUAGGAGAAAGAAUUGAUAAAAAUAAGAGAAGAAUUGAUAAAAAUAAGAAGCAGGAGGAAUUAAUAAAAAUAAGGAAGAGGAGGAAUUGAUAAAAAUAAGGAGGAAAAAUAAUUGAUAAAAUAUAAAAUUGUUGCAUUUUUUAAUUUUCUUACAAAAUAUUAAUGAAAUAUUUAAAUUUUGUCGAUAAUUUAAAAAAAGAAAGUAAAUUUAAUACUUGUGGCGCCAUCUCGCGUUUGGAUUCACGAAGCUCCGACUCGUUACUAGCAUAACAUGACAUGCAAGGAGGUAUGCGAAGUCAAAGAGAAGGAACGCAACAUUAUGCGAGAAGGACAGAGAACAUUUAAAAAUACGCCACAUGGAAAAAUCAUUAAUUACUCAUUUUCUACUGAAAUUUUCUGCACAUUUAAGCACGCAUCUUGUAGUCAGAGUCUGAAACAAGCUUCUUCUAUUAAUUUUAAUGUAAAAUUGUCGUUAAUUAUUUAAUUAUUAAUAAUUAUUGCAUCAUAUGUAAAUUAACGAUAUAGAAAUGCAACGCAUAUGAUGCAAUAAUUACUAAUAAUUAAAUAAUUAACAACAAUUUUAUAUUAAAAUUAACAGAAGAAGCUUGUUUGAGAUUCUGACUACAAGAUGCGUGCUUAAAAGUGCAGAAAAUUUUAGUAGAAAACGAGUAAUUAAUGAAUUUUCAGUAUGGCGUCUUUAAUGUAUUAGAACGUAUUAUGCGUUAAUCAUUAAUAAUUAAAUAAAUAAAAAGAAUUUUGCAUUAAAAUUAAUAUGAGAAAGUUGCCUGGAGUUCUAACAUUAAAAUGAGAGCCUAAAUAUAACGAAAUUUUAAGUAGAAAAAGAGUAAUUAAUGAUUUUUCCAUGUGGCGUAUUUUUAAAUGUUCUCUGUCCUUCUCGCACAAUGUUGCGUUCCUUUUCUUUGACUUCGCAUACCUCCUUGCAUAUCAUGUUAUGCUAGUAACGAGUCGGAGCUUCGUGAAUCUAAACGCGAGAUGGCGCCACAGGUAUAUUAUUUUCUUUCUUUUUUUAAAUUAUCGACAAAAUUUAAAUGUUUCAUUAAUAUUUUGUGAGAAAAUUAAGAAGCACCACAAUUUUAUAUUUUAUCAAUUAUUUUUCUUCCAAAACUUAUCAAUUCCUUCUUCUAAUUCUUCAGGUAAACAAUUUUAAAUAGAUAAAAAUAAGGAGGAGAAGGAAUCGAUAAAUUUGGGAUGGAAAAGGAAUUGAUAAAUAUAAGAAGGAAGAGGAAUUGAUAAAAAUAAAGAAGUGGUAAAAUUUGGGAAAAAAAGUAAUUGAUAAAAUAUAAAAUUCUUACACUUCUUAAUUUUCUCACUAAUUUUCUCAAGUAUUAAUGAAACAUUUAAAUUUUGUCGAUAAUUUAAAAAAAGAAAGAAAAUAAAUUUAAUAUCUGUGGCGCCAUCUCGCGUUUGGAUUCACGAAGCUCCGACUCGUUAC